rnacentral:rRNA from 1 species
UACGUAGGGUGCAAGCGUUAAUCGGAAUUACUGGGCGUAAAGCGUGCGCAGGCGGUUAUGCAAGACAGAUGUGAAAUCCCCGGGCUCAACCUGGGAACUGCAUUUGUGACUGCAUGGCUAGAGUACGGUAGAGGGGGAUGGAAUUCCGCGUGUAGCAGUGAAAUGCGUAGAUAUGCGGAGGAACCCCGAUGGCGAAGGCAAUCCCCUGGACCUGUACUGACGCUCAUGCACGAAAGCGUGGGGAGCAAACAGG